AAAAAUAAAAUAAAAAUUGCAAUUAACUAUUUGCACUCCAAACCAGAGUUCUUGUAAUUAUCACAAUAGCAAAUUAAACGGCACUCCAAGCCAACUUAUAUAGAGGUCGGCUCUGCCCAUUCUUGUGGGCUAGAGCGCCAUUGGUUUGUGCAGCUACACAAACGUGAACAAAUCAGGCUUCGGUAUAAACAGUUUCCCAUACACAACGUGAGAGAACAUUCAAAAGGGUACCAGAGGUUUUAAGUCUUAAAUGGUUUGAUUCUAAAUGCUGCAAAACAAAAUGGUUUUGUGCUUUAAUUUAUACUUUGACUGUAGAAUCUAUUUGCAUUAGCAACAAUUUCGAUGUAAUUCUGGGGAACCGCUUCAGGAAGACAUUGACAAGUUAGUGCUGUAUUACAUUGUGUGCUAUUUUUACAUUUGUUACCAAAAAGUUGUCUGCACUGUACUGUGAACCCAAGAGUUGGUGGAUUUACAAGGUGGCUUUGAGAUCAUUUCCACACUUUCCACACUCUUAUAAAUCACUGUGUAACGCGUGUCGCGGCGCAAGUGCGACCCUCCCUCUCAAACAGUAAAUAACGGAAAUGAGCGGAAAAGGAAUACACUGUUUCUAAUUUUGGACCAGCGACCAGAAGAUCAGAUUCGCUCAAGAGACUGUGUCAGCAACAAGGGUAGAAGGAAAUGACAACAACACUGGCUGCAUUAGAAACAGGACCGUGUCGCAGCUGUUGUUUCUCUCUCUCGCAUCGCGCGUUCUCGCUCGUACUCCCUCGCACAGCUCCGAUCAUAGGGCGGGGCUAACUCUUCGCUCUCCUCAUUGGACCAAUUUUCACUUAUUUGAAAAAAAAGAAGUUUCUAAAAUAGUUUUAUUUUUAUUAUUUACUUUUUUUCAUUUAUACAUUUUCUACUUCACAAUGUUAUUAAAGUAAAGUGCUGAUUUACAUAUUCACAAGUCUUAUGGUGUUUUAUUCCCUUUUCUAUUUUACAUUAACAGGGCUCUUAGUAACCUGGGUUACAUCUGGCUCUCUCCUAAUACACGGUUCCAAAUGACUUUACCUAGACAAUACACCCACUCCAGAGCUUUAUGCAGAAAUGAAAGUCACUGUCUUCUUGAACUCUACAGCUCAGUGACAAUAGCAGCGGCUCUGGAAGUGUUAUAAAACUGAAAGAAGAGCUCAGUUAGGGCUUAUAUUAAUUCUUAAAGUAUUUUCAAAUUUCCGCACAUGUGGUUUCAAUUGCAUGAUCAAUGACUGGGGUAUGUCAGAUACCAAC
ensembl:lncRNA